rnacentral:rRNA from 1 species
GACGAACGCUGGCGGCGUGCCUAAUACAUGCAAGUAGAACGCUGAAGAGAGGAGCUUGCUCUUCUUGGAUGAGUUGCGAACGGGUGAGUAACGCGUAGGUAACCUGCCUGGUAGCGGGGGAUAACUAUUGGAAACGAUAGCUAAUACCGCAUAAUAGUAGAUGUUGCGUGACAUUUGCUUAAAAGGUGCAAUUGCAUCACUACCAGAUGGACCUGCGUUGUAUUAGCUAGUUGGUGGGGUAACGGCUCACCAAGGCCUACGAUACAUAGCCGACCUGAGAGGGUGAUCGGCCACACUGGGCACUGAGACACGGCCCAGACUCCUACGGGAGGCAGCAGUAGGGAAUCUUCGGCAAUGGACGGAAGUCUGACCGAGCAACGCCGCGUGAGUGAAGAAGGUUUUCGGAUCGUAAAGCUCUGUUGUAAGAGAAGAACGGGUGUGAGAGUGGAAAGUUCAC